UAGUCCACGCCGUAAACGAUGAGUGUUAGAUGUCCGAGGUAAACUCGGGUGUCCCAAGCUAACGCGAUAAGCACUCCGCCUGGGGAGUACGUACGCAAGUAUGAAACUCAAAGGAAUUGACGGGGACCCGCACAAGCAGCGGAGCAUGUGGUUUAAUUCGACGCAACGCGAAGAACCUUACCAAGUCUUGACAUAACUUUGAAGCCUUCUAGAGAUAGUAGGUGUUUGACUUCGGUCAACAAAGCUAC
rnacentral:rRNA from 1 species